rnacentral:rRNA from 1 species
UACGUAGGGGGCGAGCGUUGUCCGGAGUUACUGGGCGUAAAGGGCACGCAGGCGGUGCGGCGCGUUUCGCGUGACAGCGGAGGGCUUAACUCUCCGAGGAUGCGAAAGACGGCGGCACUUGAGGGCCAGAGAGGGACACGGAAUUCCGGGUGGAGUGGUGAAAUGCGUAGAGAUGUGGAGGAACACCAGUGGCGAAGGCGACUCUUUGGCUUGUAACUGACGCUGAGGCGCGAAAGCGUGGGGAGCAAACAGG